rfam:Myotis lucifugus cont2.32032, whole genome shotgun sequence.
GGAACUUCUCGGGUAAUGCACCCCAGAAUCGGGCUCCCUCCUCUCUGGUUCCAGGUGCAUCACCCGAGAAACACA